UGGGGAAUAUUGCACAAUGGGCGCAAGCCUGAUGCAGCGACACCGCGUGCGGGAUGGAGGCCUUCGGGUUGUAAACCGCUUUGUUCAAGGGCAAGGCACGGUCUUUGGCCGUGUUGAGUGGAUUGUUCGAAUAAGCACCGGCUAACUACGUGCC
rnacentral:rRNA from 1 species